GGUCACUGCAUGGCGCGGUGCCAGCUGGUGCUGGUUAAUUGUUUGGUGGUGCUGCGGGUGAUUAAAACCAGGUGUGUUGGUCAGCGCUCUCCCCCUCUGCUUCUGCUGUGCGGUGCGUCUGGUGUGUUUGGCGUGCACGUCUGUGUCUCCCCAUUGUGUCAUUAAGUGCUGGGAGCGACGGUGAGCCGGAGGGAGCGAGCGGUUCCGGUGGGCAUGUGUUGGGUGCAGUAGAGCUCAGAGUCAUCGGCCACCACGACAAAGUUGCUGCUGUCCUGGCUCGGCUCCAGGUGGACUGAAAAGCUCCAUGCUGUUUGGUCACUGCACGUGUCCACGGCUGCAGUUUUGGUGUGAAGGCAUCACGCCAUCAUCGGUGCCCCCAUCAGAUCCAGUCUGAGUCCAGCCAAGUUUGGCUCACCUGUCUCUUCUUUUGAUUUAAAUCAUUAUUUUCCUUACUUAAUUUAAAUAUUAAAGAUUGUUGUGUUACAAUUCUGGUUGCAUUUGAGUUUAAUAUUUGUUUGCUAAUAGUUUGGAUUAUUUUGUUUAUUGUAUUACGCUGAUUUUGGGUUUGUUUUUUUUUUUUUGUUUUUUUUGCUUUGUUUAAUGUUUGAUUUCCUAGACUAAGUUGGUUUAUAUGGUGUUUCUUUGUCAAUUUUCUUUAACUCCUCAGUUGUAGACCGAAUUUGUUAUUUCUUUUUUUGUGUGUUAUAUGAAUUGUUUCUAUUUUGUAUUGCUUUCUUCCAGGUUUCUUUGGUAUUAAUUGAUCAAUCGCGUAUUUGGGUUUCUGUCUUCUUUUAACCGUAGAUGCCCUCAUGGGUCCCCACACUGUGCUUUGUGUUAAUUUUGUGUUUUUCUCUUGUUUUUCAACAGGUGCUGAGGCCCAAUCGAGUGGCAGCCCUCCCCUGGUGGUGGUGUUUGACACAGGUUUUGUGGUUGCAGUGCACUGGUAGUUUAUCGUAGGAUUUUGUCCUUUUUUUGAGUUCCCUGCCGCUGUGGUAAGCCCCAGUCCUGGUUGGGUCCUUUUUUGUUUGUUGCCAGUGUGGCCCCAUCUGGGCAUAUCUCCCCCCCGCUUUGGUCAGCCAACCCAUUCUCAUACCAGGGUUCAGCAGGAUAACAAAGUCACCUGCAGAUGGAAGGAAACCCAGGGUGGAUACAACAGGGGUUUAAAAAUGAAUUUCAUUGUCGUUUAUGGUGUGAUUGUAUGAUUGGUCGCUGUCUGAGUCGAGUAGUUGCUAUGUUAUUUUUUUUUCUUUUAAAGGUGACAUUAAGUGUUUAACAUGCAUAAACUGAAACUAAAUGAUUAUGAUAUGUUUUGGUGCAGUUCUGCAGUGUGUUGCUGAAGAUCAGAGAUUUUUUUAAAGUUCCCUUUAGUUUAAGUUAAAUAAGUUCCAGAAGAACAAUAGUAUUGUACUAAGUUAUAGUAUGUACUGCUUUUAACCUACAAAUCCAGUUUUCCCAUUUCAUUUCCUCAUAAAUUGCUUUAAAAUGGUUAUAUUUUCAUUUAAAAUCAGAAUCACACAUCCCGUCCAAGAUCAUUCCUGCUCUCCAUUGAAGCCACAUGUUUUUACUGAAUAACUUACUUGACAAAUUUAAAUGAACUUAAAACAAUCAAUAGAUGCUCUCAAAGUUCUUCCUUUUGGUACAGAUAAGCCAUUCUCCGACUGAUGUCUUUAAUUAGCAAACACCAUGAAAAACUGAAAUAAAAUGAAUAUUACAAACAAGAUAUUAUUAGCACCAGAAUGAAUACUACAAACACAAGAUAUUAUUAGCACCAGAAUGAAUACUACAAAACACAAAUAUUAUUAGUGUAAAAUAAAAUUCAACCACAACCAUGCACCUUCUGACCAAAAACGUAGGAGUGGUUACCAUCCUUUUAAAUGUUGCACAGCUACUCUUUAGUAACAAGUCUUUACUGCAUGUAGCUUUCAACAAAACACAUCCUCUUUCUCUGAUUGGUAAUUGAGCAUGUGAGAACAGCACACUGCCCACUCAGUCCUAUUUACAGGCUUGGCCAGUAGGUGUCACCACAAACAGGGGAACCAAUAUACGUUUUCAAAAUACCAUUUACAAUUUAAAAAAGGGAAACAAAAAUCAAAUCAAAUCAAAUCAACUUUAUUUAUAGAGCACUUUUCAUACACGCACGUGCAGCACAAAGUGCUUUACACAAGAAAAACAGAAGCAUAAUAAAGGAUAAAGAAAGCCCCUCGCUCCCACCCCCCAUACUACAUACCUGCACACACACAAGGACAUUCAGAUCUAUGGGGAGCACAUUUUCUGCUACAGCUACACAAUGCACUUUUAUUACAGCAGAUAUUUAUGUAGGUAUGUGUAGAAAAAAAGAUGUCUGCUUGCUCUCUUAUUUUUUGCAUCACACCACUGUCCCAGUAUAUUCUUUGAAUCAGGGUGUCAACCUCUGCAAACACCACAAAAUUACACCACUCCAUCCCUGUUAGGAGCAACUGUCCCUGCACCUGCCAGUAGUAGCUAUGACCCUGCUUCAAUUCCAGGGUGUCAUCUUUCAUUGUCAGAUGUGGAUAAUUCACAUAGCUUUUAAUGUUUGGACAUUUUAUUUCAUUAAAGUUCAGAGCUUUCUGUUGGGUCAAAAACAACACUAUGUGGGGAUGUACCUACCCAUGGAGUGUCAGGGUGUAUAAUGAAGCCACAAGGGUAGUGGUUCACCCUCUUGAGCUUGCAGUACUCUUCAAUGGCAUCAGCUUCCAUUUUGAGACCGCUCUUCAUUGCUGCUGCCUGAUGGACCCCGUUUGGCAACUGGUCUGCCAUCUUUUCUAAGGUGCAUGGUUUAGCAUGGCAUUUUUCCCCAAAAUGUGAGGAGGUGAGUCUGGGAUUUCUCAGUCUAUGUGUUACAGCUAUGAAGACGGCGGACACCAGGGCUUGAGUCUUCAAUGAUGCUGACUUUAUUCUUUACCAAAAACAAUUACAGUCACCAAGCACAUUAACUUGUCCAGGUCACCAAAGCGAGACUUCGCCGCUGCUUCUCCGGUCUUUUCGCGCCAACCCGCAUAACCAUGGCAACCAGAGCAAAAACACCUCUUCUUCGUCGGUUCUGUCCGACCCGUGCUCUCCGGUGCAACCUGGUGGCUAAAACAGAGAACUGCACGCAACCACGUACAGCAUUGAACACAUCACAUAAACAUGUCACUUCACCUCUUCCCUGCAGAACAUGAAAUUAACAGUUGUAAACAAAGAAAUUAUGGGGUCCCCCUUUUAACCAUAACAGUGAAUCGUCACAUAUGCCAGUGCUGGGUAACCUCAAGUGACUUGAAGUGCAAAUGUUGAUGCUCAGUGAAAACAAACGGACAGCAUGAUAUCUCCAGUUUGCAGCCAGCCAAUGGCAAAU